rnacentral:misc_RNA from 1 species
AACGCAAAUUGCACUCUUUUAGAGUAUGCCUGUUUGAGAAUCUAUAGUAUUAAUUUUUACUUGAUAUUUUUUAUAUUAAGGAAAAGAUAUGGAGUUUCCCUCUUAAGGGGGUCCUCUAAAAUAGAUUGCCUCUGUUUUUGAUAGACUCGACGAAGUUUUUCAAACCUGCAGAAAAGUAUUUGAAUGGAACUGUGGUUUCUCAAUAUGCUGAAUAUGUUAGGCGAAAGAUGGAGUUUCUUUCAAGCAGAUGUCCAUACCUAAUAAGCUAAAUUUUAACUUGAACCAAGGUCUCAAAUCAGGUAGGAAGACCCGCUGAACUUAA